rnacentral:rRNA from 1 species
UAGGGAAUCUUCGGCAAUGGGGGCAACCCUGACCGAGCAACGCCGCGUGAGUGAAGAAGGUUUUCGGAUCGUAAAGCUCUGUUGUAAGAGAAGAACGUGUGUGAGAGUGGAAAGUUCACACAGUGACGGUAACUUACCAGAAAGGGACGGCUAACUACGUGCCAGCAGCCGCGGUAAUACGUAGGUCCCGAGCGUUGUCCGGAUUUAUUGGGCAUAAAGCGAGCGCAGGCGGUUUAAUAAGUCUGAAGUUAAAGGCAGUGGCUUAACCAUUGUUCGCUUUGGAAACUGUUAAACUUGAGUGCAGAAGGGGAGAGUGGAAUUCCAUGUGUAGCGGUGAAAUGCGUAGAUAUAUGAAGGAACACCGGUGGCGAAAGCGGCUCUCUGGUCUGUAACUGACGCUGAGGCUCGAAAGCGUGGGGAGCAAACAGG